AUUGAACGCUGGCGGCAGGCCUAACACAUGCAAGUCGAGCGGAGCGGCGGACGGGUGCGUAAUGCCUAGGAAUCUGCCUGGUAGUGGGGGAUAACGUCCGGAAACGGGCGCUAAUACCGCAUACUAUCAGAUGAGCCUAGCUCGGUUUAGCUAGUUGGUGGGGUAAAGGCCUACCAAGGCGACGAUCCGUCACUGGUCUGAGAGGAUGAUCAGGCACACUGGGACUGAGACACGGUCCAGACUCCUACGGGAGGCAGCAGUGGGGAAUAGUGGACAAUGGGCGAAAGCCUGAUGCAGCCAUGCCGCGUGUGUGAAGAAGGUCUUCGGAUUGUAAAGCACUUUAAGUUGGGAGGCGUUACCAACAGAAGAAGCACCGGCUAACUUCGUGCCAGCAGCCGCGGUAAUAC
rnacentral:rRNA from 1 species